CCUACGGGAGGCAGCAGUGGGGAAUAUUGCACAAUGGGCGAAAGCCUGAUGCAGCCAUGCCGCGUGUGUGAAGAAGGCCUUCGGGUUGUAAAGCACUUUCAGUUGUGAGGAAAGGGAUGUAGUUAAUAGCGGCAAGCUCUGACAUUACCUUUAGAAGAAGCACCGGCUAACUCCGUGCCAGCAGCCGCGGUAAUACGGAGGGUGCGAGCGUUAAUCGGAAUUACUGGGCGUAAAGCGCGCGUAGGCGGUUUGUUAAGUCAGCUGUGAAAGCCCCGGGCUCAACCUGGGAACUGCAGUUGAUACUGGCCGACUAGAGUACGAGAGAGGGAGGUAGAAUUCCAUGUGUAGCGGUGAAAUGCGUAGAUAUAUGGAGGAAUACCAGUGGCGAAGGCGGCCUCCUGGCUCGAUACUGACACUGAGGUGCGAAAGCGUGGGGAGCGAACAGGAUUAGAUACCCUGGUAGUCCACGCCGUAAACGAUGUCAACUAGCCGUUCGUGGACUUGAUCCGUGAGUGGCGCAGCUAACGCACUAAGUUGACCGCCUGGGGAGUACGGCCGCAAGGUUAAAACUCAAAUGAAUUGACGG
rnacentral:rRNA from 1 species